UACAGAGGUCUCAAGCGUUGUUCGGAUUCAUUGGGCGUAAAGGGUGUGUAGGUGGCGCGCUAAGUCGGGUGUGAAAUCUCGGGGCUUAACUCCGAAACUGCAUUCGAUACUGCCGUGCUUGAGGACUGGAGAGGAGACUGGAAUUUACGGUGUAGCGGUGAAAUGCGUAGAUAUCGUAAGGAAGACCAGUGGCGAAGGCGGGUCUCUGGACAGUUCCUGACGCUGAGGCACGAAGGUCAGGGGAGCAAACGGG
rnacentral:rRNA from 1 species